rnacentral:rRNA from 1 species
CCUACGGGCGGCAGCAGUGGGGAAUAUUGGUCAAUGGGCGCAAGCCUGACCCAGCAACGCCGCGUGAAGGAAGAAGGCCCUCGGGUUUUAAACUUCUUUUAUCAGGGACGAAACAAAUUACGGUACCUGCUGAAUAAGCCACGGCUAACUACGUGCCAGCAGCCGCGGUAAUACGUAGGUGGCAAGCGUUAUCCGGAUUUACUGGGUGUAAAGGGGGUGUAGGCGGGAGAGCAAGUCAGACGUGAAAUUCCAGGGCUCAACCCUGGAACUGCGUUUGAAACUGUUCUUCUUGAGUGAUGGAGAGGCAGGCGGAAUUCGGUGUGUAGCGGUGAAAUGCGUAGAUAUAAGGAGGAACACCAGUGGCGAAGGCGGCCUGCUGGACAGUAACUGACGCUGAGGCGCGAAAGCGUGGGGAGCAAACAGGAUUAGAUACCCCAGUAGUC